GGACGGUGACAUGGUUCAUGGAAUGAAACUUUCGUGUUCCCCUAGAUUGACACUUGACUUGUAGAUUGCAUAGGCGAGGUAGUCACUAUGCCAGGAAAAUGUUCACUUUGUCUUUCAAAAUUUUGUGCAAUUCUACAAGGAUAGUUUCAAUCACAUGAUGUUUUUUAGUACUCGGUUAUUUGUGAAGGCUGCUAGAUUUAUCUUUCAAAUAUUUGCAUCGUUUCACUCUUCUUAACAAAGUUGUUUUGGUCAAGAUAUUAUAUCAGUUUCUUUUGUAAGAUAAAAGAUCAUUGGAAUUAUAAGAUGGAUGAGUUGAUA